GAUGAACGCUGGCGGCGUGCCUAAUACAUGCAAGUAGAACGCUGAAGGAAGGAGCUUGCUCUUUCCGGAUGAGUUGCGAACGGGUGAGUAACGCGUAGGUAACCUGCCUGGUAGCGGGGGAUAACUAUUGGAAACGAUAGCUAAUACCGCAUAACAGUAGAUGUUGCAUGAUAUCUACUUAAAAGGUGCAAUUGCACCACUACCAGAUGGACCUGCGUUGUAUUAGCUAGUUGGUGAGGUAACGGCUCACCAAGGCGACGAUACAUAGCCGACCUGAGAGGGUGAUCGGCCACACUGGGACUGAGACACGGCCCAGACUCCUACGGGAGGCAGCAGUAGGGAAUCUUCGGCAAUGGACGGAAGUCUGACCGAGCAACGCCGCGUGAGUGAAGAAGGUCUUCGGAUCGUAAAGCUCUGUUGUAAGAGAAGAACGAGUGUGAGAGUGGAAAGUUCACACUGUGACGGUAUCUUACCAGAAAGGGACGGCUAACUACGUG
rnacentral:rRNA from 1 species